UUCCUCCGUCCCCCUGUCAGAUAUGGAGGGGUUGGGGAAAGGAUGCCGUGUCCCUGAGUCUGCCCCUGACUGGCCAGCUGACGCCCAUUGAUAUCUCCAUGGCCGUGGUGAGGCAGGAGAGGACUCAAGGAUGGAGAGCUUAGGAUACCACACGGAGGAGGGUGAAGGAGCCUUGGGGAAGCCUGAAGAAGGGGCAGUGAAGGAGGGAGGCCUGGAGGUGAAGGAAAUGCAGAAAAUUCCUCUAAUAGUGAGCGCUUCGCUGGUCAGACCAUCCCUCACUGAAUAUUUUGACCGAGGCUUCGAGAUACGAGAUGAGAAUCCGUUUUUUAGUAGUUUAAGCCAGUUUUAUGUGUUUUUGGGUGUUUGUAGAUUGUUUUUAUCUUGUUUUGAGUAUUUUUUUGGUUUGUGAAAGGAGGGAGAAAGCUUAAAUACAGUAAUAAUACCGAAAAAAAGGCUUAAAUUGAGAGUUUUAAAGUUAUCUUAGCGUAUAUUAAGCUGUUUUAAAUGUUUUAAGUUACCAGAAGAGAGGAAGCUUAAAUUUAAUAUUAGGAUAAGGAAAAAGCUUAUUUCUUGCAUUAGGAAGAAAGGAAAGCUUAAUAUUGCCACCUCAUCCCCCCAGCCCCCAGUGAGCCAGGUGACCCCCUAGAACAACGCCAUCCUGCCUAUUUGUGGUGUGGCAGCCCAGAUCGUCCCCCUCCCUCCCUCAUCCUCCUCCUCCUCUAGCAAAGAAGAGACGUUUAAUCAGCUAGUGGACAGGUUGUUGUUGUUGUUGUUAUUGUUGUUGUGGGGGUGGCGGUGGUAGUAGUGGCGGCGGUGGUUGUUCGUCUCUCUCUCUCUCUCUCUCUCUCUCUCUCUCUCUCUCUCUCUCUCUCUCUCAGGCGGUGGUGGGGGGGCGGGAGGGCGUAGUCUCGAGGAGGCUGGCAGAGGUUAUGGAAGGGUCCUGGUAUGCUCCCUCUCCCUCACUCCCUCGCUCCCUCCUUGGGCUCUCUCCGGAACAAGUAGCGGCGUGGCUGGAAGUGGGCGGAAGUUUAGCAGGCUUCUCUAAGAUUGGGCUGGAAGUUAGCGGAAGAGGAGACGUGGCACAUGACAAGGCAAUACAGGGCUUACAGAGGGCAGGCGUGACUGGGCCCUGCCUCGCCGCCCUUGUCAACACCCUAGAGAGAAAUACGCUCACCUUGUAGAGAGGAUAUAUUUUCAUUUUCUUUCGUUGUAUAUAUUUAUUUUUUUUUUAUUUAUUAUUAAAAGGAAUAUUUUCUUUUUUCUAUUUUUCGUUCGUUUUAUAAUGGAUUGUUUAAUUUUAUCUAUAUUUGUUUACAUUUUUUAUCAAUUUCUUUCGAUUUUAUAUUCAGUUUAUUUAUUUAUCAUUAUUUCUUAAGAUAAUUUCUUUAUUUUCUUUAUUUUUCGCUCGUUUUCAUAAUGGGAGUGUUCAAUUUUUAUAUAUUUUUCAAUCGUAAUUUAAUAUCUUAGACUUAAUAUCCAAUUUAUUGAUUUAUUAUUACUUCUAAGUGUGUGUAAGUACUUAAAAGUUUAAUUUAAUUAUUUAUUUAUUUAUUUUUAUUUUCCGUCCGUUUUUAUUAUAUUGGAAACUUAUUUCAUAUAUAUUCCAGUUUUGUU